UACGGAGGAUCCGAGCGUUAUCCGGAAUCAUUGGGUUUAAAGGGUCCGUAGGCGGUUUAAUAAGUCAGUGGUGAAAUUCCAACGCUCAACGUUGGGACUGCCAUUGAUACUGUUAGACUUGAAUUAUUAGGAAGUAACUAGAAUAUGUAGUGUAGCGGUGAAAUGCUUAGAUAUUACAUGGAAUACCGAUUGCGAAAGCAGGUUACUACUAAUUGAUUGACGCUGAUGGACGAAAGCGUGGGUAGCGAACAGG
rnacentral:rRNA from 1 species